UGUAUUUCCAAUACCGGAAAACCUCUUUCAUGGGUUUAUCAAUUACAAGUAAGACUAAUUUGCCAUUCAUCUCUAUCUUUAUUAAUAAUGUUAUUGCUAAUACUCGCAUAGAUACUGGAGCUGAUGACACCGCCAUUAGUGAAAGUUUAUGGAAGAAAAUUAUGGCGAAAAAUCCAAAAAUUUGCCUCCACCCAGGUCCGAAGGUACAAUUAGCAGUAAAAGAAGAGGAAUAUAGAACCUUGGGAUAUUUCUCAGCCAUGAUAAAGGUGAAUAAUGUCACUCUUAGACAAAAGUGUUAAUAAAGUAAAUUCAACUAAUCAACAAAACUUGUUUGGUCAGAAUUCAGGUAUUCAAGGUCCAAAUUGUUC
rnacentral:lncRNA from 1 species